AUGGGCCUGUCCUCGCAAGGCAGCCCGGGGAAGAAGCGCUGCCAGACCGUCCCGGGGAGACAGCGGGAGCGUCAGGCCCCGAGAACACGGAGCUGGCCUUGCGCAGCUGGCUGCCGACGGUCACAGAGUGGCCACCAGGUCAGAACAUCCUCCCCGGGCCAGCUCCUCUUCAGACACCGUGAGUUCUCCUCUGUGACUUGGUGCGGUGACUCGGUGACUAAGAUCAUCGCCAGCAGAGCGAUCGAAUGAGGUAGGAUGUGAUUUCUAUCACGUUACAUCAUUUAUUUAGACAAGUGCUUGGCUGGUUAACCCUUAAUGGCAGCUCACAGACACUAGAUGCUGGGCACAGUGAAUGACAAGUAAUCACCCGCCCACUGGUAGUUCCUGGUGACUGAAAGGUCAACCCUCACUGUCUUCCUGAUAAAUCCCAGACUUCUCUACCAUAUUUUUUUUUCUUUUUUGGUACUGGGAAUCAAACUCAGGACCUCGCAUUUGCCAGGCAGGUGCUCGUGCCCCUGAGCUAUACCCCAGCCCUCUGCCAUAUCUUGCCCAAA
rnacentral:lncRNA from 1 species